rnacentral:rRNA from 1 species
GAAUAUUGGACAAUGGGCGAAAGCCUGAUCCAGCAACGCCGCGUGAGGGAUGACGGCCUUCGGGUUGUAAACCUCUUUCAGCAGGGACGAAGCGCAAGUGACGGUACCUGCAGAAGAAGCACCGGCCAACUACGUGCCAGCAGCCGCGGUAAUCCGUAGGGUGCGAGCGUUGUCCGGAAUUAUUGGGCGUAAAGGGCUCGUAGGCGGUUUGUCGCGUCGGGAGUGAAAACUCAGGGCUUAACCCUGAGCCUGCUUCCGAUACGGGCAGACUAGAGGUAUGCAGGGGAGAACGGAAUUCCUGGUGUAGCGGUGAAAUGCGCAGAUAUCAGGAGGAACACCGGUGGCGAAGGCGGUUCUCUGGGCAUUACCUGACGCUGAGGAGCGAAAGUGUGGGGAGCGAACAGG